GGCAGCUCUCAGGUAAUGCACCUGGGAAUCGGGCUCCCUCCUCUCUGGUACCGGGUGCGCUACCCGAGAAUUGCA
rfam:Myotis brandtii contig152979, whole genome shotgun sequence.